rnacentral:lncRNA from 1 species
GGGAUGGCAGGUGCCAUGAACAGCGAGCUCCCAGAGUUGGCCAAAAGCACAGCGGAGGUGCAAAUCCAGCAGCCUGACUGGGCCAAAACUGUGGCUGGUGAUGAUGGCAGGUAUGCGUCCUGCAACAGUAGAAGGUGAGAGAGGCAGGUAUACCGAGGUCUUGGAGGAACACAGCCAGCUAUCAACUUCAGUCCUCACUCUGUGGCUGCCAACACAGUCUUUGAGACAUCCCCAAGGUACCAUCUCCCUUUGCGAAUCUUCCAGAGAAGGCCCGUGUGCUGAGCAAACACACCUGUUGGCUUCUUCACGGCUCUUUCUCAUGCCUGCUAGUUUCUUUGCGGCUCUUUGUGGAAGACGGAAGAGCAAGGUCACGCACCCCAGCACCAGCUCUGUACUUUCUCUUGCCUGGCCUCCAUCUACCCCUCACUCACCACCUUGGGCUUGCACCUUCCAAAUCCAGGAUCCGCAUUCGAACCCUUGCUUCAGGCUCUGCUUUCCAGGUGAUGCAAAGACUCAUGUAAAUGGUUUGAUGGAUGUUGCAGAGACAAAUGCAAGUGCUCAGCCAGGUCUCCAGCUCAAGAAACAUCUCAGGAAGGAGUGAAAAGAGGUCACUGUGAGAGCAAAUCCAGCUGGUGGUUAUGAGAAUGUGGAAUGUGGGGGUGAUGGAGCUCCGCUUCUACUGACUCUUCAGAAGGUUCCCAGGAAUCCACGGAGUCCCAGAGUCUUUAGGAAAAGAAGGAUCUUGUGAGGUCAUGUUGUCCAGUUCUCAUCUGACAGAAAGAAUCCAUUCCACCAUCCUAGAAACCCAAAUACUCAUCAUGAUCAAAAGCACUCCUGAAACCCAGGCGUCUCCACCCUACGGCAUCUUUCUUUCUGUUGUGCUUGAAGUUCUCCCCACUGUCCUCCUGACUCAGUCCCUCCUCAUACGUUAAAGCCAUGGUCACCGGCCUGUCCUUGGUUUCCAUUACCUGGCACACUAUGGCAAAGCCACUGCUCGUGGCCACCAGACAGGUCGAGGCAGGCACUGGGGCCAAUCCCAUUCCUUGCUAUGCCUGAUGCCCUUCCGUGCCUGAUGCCCCUCUGUCAUCUCUUUGUUUGCACAGCUGUGACCUGCAUUGUCUCCACUAACGACAGCGUCCUUAACCCGGACAGUGACCCAGCAAGUGGCAGCCCACGCUCGCCGGCCGGGUCCAAGUUUUAAGUAAAGAAGCCAUUUGUUCCCAGGCUCAUUUUUAUCAAGGCUCGUCUGUCUUUCCAAAUUAGGGCUGAGUCAUUUAUAAAGCAUGUGAGUGUUUGGAUGUUAGCAGCAAACAUUCAUCCAUUUUAGAAUAAAUGAUUAAAAGGCACUCAUUAAAUUCCUCUGUUGACUGAUGCCAAGGCCCCGAGAACGGAUUGGCCUGUUGGCUUCUGGCUGGCCUGACUGCCAUCCCACCUACUGAGAACUCUCGUAGACUCUGGAGAGAAAAUUCCUGCUCGAGGGGACACCCUGAUGGAAGAUAACAGGAAGGAUGGCACUCAGGCCUGUUCCCCCAAUAUUACAGCACAGUUAUCUACCUUCAGAGUGGCCGCACCCAACAGACUCUUGGUGAGUGGGAGGACAACCCCUUCUCCCCUCCAAAGAUCUAGGGACAAUGUGUGCCAUUCCUUCCCAUGGGCAUGGGGAAUGUUUAACUCAAAAGUCAAGGGAAUAAUUCCAUAAUGACUGAAAACUAAGUAUUUCCAGUCCUGAUAAGAAUGGCGCUCUGUGCCCACUCCAGGAAUACAAGAAUUGGCAAGACUCUCCUGUGGCCCCUGCCCUGGAAGGUAGAAGGUAAAAGAUCAUACACAGACAGGUAAACCAACUCCCGAACAGAACUGGGAGCCUCGGACCACAGGCUCUGACCCUUUGCUGGCCAGCAGGUGCAGAGGGAAGGAGCUUCUGCUGUCCUUGCCCCCAGCAAAUGUCCAUCCUCACCACAAGGGAACAAACCAUGCCCAAUGCCUCGUUGGGGGCACUGGCGCCCCUUGAAUGUAUCCUCUCUAGGAUCCUUGGC